rnacentral:rRNA from 1 species
GGGGGGGAGGGUGAGUAUGUCUGGGAACUGCCUGAUGGAGGGGGAUAACUACUGGAAACGGUAGCUAAUACCGCAUAACGUCGCAAGACCAAAGAGGGGGACCUUCGGGCCUCUUGCCAUCGGAUGUGCCCAGAUGGGAUUAGCUAGUAGGUGGGGUAACGGCUCACCUAGGCGACGAUCCCUAGCUGGUCUGAGAGGAUGACCAGCCACACUGGAACUGAGACACGGUCCAGACUCCUACGGGAGGCAGCAGUGGGGAAUAUUGCACAAUGGGCGCAAGCCUGAUGCAGCCAUGCCGCGUGUAUGAAGAAGGCCUUCGGGUUGUAAAGUACUUUCAGCGGGGAGGAAGGGAGUAAAGUUAAUACCUUUGCUCAUUGACGUUACCCGCAGAAGAAGCACCGGCUAACUCCGUGCCAGCAGCCGCGGUAAUACGGAGGGUGCAAGCGUUAAUCGGAAUUACUGGGCGUAAAGCGCACGCAGGCGGUUUGUUAAGUCAGAUGUGAAACCCCCCGGGCUAA